rnacentral:ncRNA from 1 species
GCCCCGGGGGGAGCUUGGGAAGCCAGGCUGAGAGGUUCCGAUUUAGAGGGACGACCCCGAAAACCUGAUCUGGGUAAUGCCAGCGUAGGAACGAGGUCUU